CGUGAUCGACAUCCCUUAAAACCCCCCUUUGUCGACGUGUCAUUUUUGUCUUGGCCUUUACAGAAGUUGCUGUUUACUAAACCCCUCGCGUUUUAUGUGUACUGCACGCUCCACCAAUUACUUGAUUCUUUUAACAAAACUUGUAACAAAUUUAUCAAAUUCAAACACUUAAAAAUUCUCAUUUCAUUUCAAUUGAAAUAAUUUUUAUUUCAAUUGAAAUAAUUUGAAUUUCUUAUUGAAUUUGAAUUUAUUUAAUAUAAAAAUAUAUUUUAAAAAUAAAAAUUUAAAUUGAGGUAUUAUUAUAACAUGUCUCUUUAUAGAAUUUAUUUUUGUAUUGUCAUUUUCAUUCGCUUGAAUCUCUUUUGUAUCAUUGACUUCUUGAGUAUCAUUUUUUUUUACUAAUCAAAUUUGUUCGAUAAUCUCACUACUCCUUGGUGUAGUUUACCAUCUUCAGUUUUUCUUUACCUUCAUUCUCUCUUAGGUAAAAAGUGAUUUCAGUUAUGCGAAAUCAUAUUUUCAUCUUAUAACUUUACGAAUUAAACGCAAAUUCAUUGUCUGUUUGUAUCGUAAUUCAUUCCAACGACUUAAAUUGUGUUUUUAAAAAAUCCUUCCCCCACUCAAAAAAGGACCUGAAUUUGAUGAAUAAAAUUAAAUUUAUUAGGUCAAAUUUAAAAUUACUUGGUUUGAAUAAAAAGAAAAAUAAAAAACCUCUCAGCUAGUGCUUGCUCUGAGCUCAAUAGGGGCCUUUGGGGGUGUCGCGUGUGAAGGUGAGAGUGGAAUUAAUUUUACCCGAAUUUCUUUAACCGAAAGUAAUGAUCCCCAUGUUUCAUCUUUUUCGUAGGAUAAGGAUUUGAAAAUUCUUUGUGUGACCCACGACAAAUUAACUUUACGACCGUUAAUUUCAUGUAAUUUUAUGUUUUGUGUAUUUUUUUAGGUCACAUAACUUUUUUACCGAGGUUUCGCUUUCCUUCGUUGCUCUCGCUUCCGCUCUCAAAACAUAUAACUAUAUUUUGAUUAAAAAAUUAUAUAGCAUAGACGCUCUCGCUCUCAAGAUAUUUUGACAGAAGACAUUCUUACGCUCCCGCUCCUGCUCGUGUUUUAUGUGACCUAAGUAAUACUAUCAAUUUUAUAAAUAUAAUGCCUCGUACCAACAAAAGUAAUUUUCAAUUAAAAUUUUGAUAAAAUUAAUUAAUUGAAAGAAAAUUAUGGAGAAAGAUUUUUUUUAUCGCCGGAGGGUUUACUAUCACUUCAGUCUAUAACAUUAAAAUCAAAACACGUUUAAGUCUUUUCUCCAAAUUUUACUAUUUCUUUUCUCACGUUAAUCAAGAGAUAUAUUCCCUUCUAGGUGCAUCUAUUGAAAUUUUUUCAAUUCACAAUUAUCCCUUUUUCAAUCAUCUUCCAUUCUCGAACUUUCGAUCAUAAUGGUGAUUUGAACUAGAAUCGGAGUCAUUCGACUUUGAGCCAUUUUCAUCACUGUUCGAGCAAUUAUACGCUAAAAAGAAAAAAAAGUAAGAAAAACUCAUCCAAAAACCUAAAAAAACUAAAUAUUCAAUUUUAUCAUUUUACCUACGUAUAUACUUCGCAACAUUAAAUAAACUUAGGAGAAACAUCUUUAGGGGGUAAAUUGUUAAAAUUCCAAACCAAAAGAAAAAGAAAAAAUAAAGCAACAAUAAUAUUUGGGAAGACCUUCAAAGCUCGAGUUACUACGUUUCCAAAUUUUAGAUUAAGAAAAAUUCUCAAAUUUAAAAAUGAGUAAUAAAAAUUCAUUUAAACUUGUGAAUUUCAUAUAACCACUGAAUCAUUCAUUUUCAAUUCUGAAAAUUUUACUUAAUCCCAACUUCAAAACCAUCGUCCCGCUAAAAAUCAUAUCACAUAUAUGCGAAGAACCCUGAAUUCAGUUGUUCUAUUAGGUCGUAGUGUGAAAAUGGUUAUCAAAUCGUGCUAGAUUGAAAUGCAGAAAGUAAACCUUUCCUGACAAAACAAAAACAGAAAAAGAGUCAGCCUUUACAAUACUAAUACUUGGUUAGAAUUAGACUGAACCCCACAUCCAAAUUAAACCCACUGAUUCCAUUAUAUAUGUACUUUUGAUAUUUUUGGAGUAUAGAAGAUGAGUUUCUAGGGUCAGGCUUAUCUGAAGUUCAGAUAUGGUUCAGUAUUUUAGAUCUCCUUAUUAUAGAAUUUGUUAAAAACUAUAAUAUUAUAAACAAUCAAGUUGAUCGGAUACAGCCAAUAUCAAUUUAUAACAAGAUAAAUAAAGAUAAUUUUUUAGUGUCGUACAAAAUGAAUAUCGAUUAUAACCGAUCAGCAUAAUUUUUUACAGUAUUAUUUUACGACAGAAUUUAUAAUAUUCAUAUUUUAAAUUAUUAAAUUAAAUUCCAAACGAAUCCCAAAAAAUUUAGAUUGCACAUACCAAUCCAAACCAUACAACUUCAAAAAAAGCUGUGUACAUUAUAUGUAUUUGGAUAUUCUUAUAGAAGGGAAUGUAGAAUUGGCUUAUACGGCUGCACGAGCCAUGACUAGUACACUACUUACUGGUCGUGGACGGUGACAUGAGUUUCCACAGUCAAUAAUCGUCCCAUCAAUUGGUGCUGGUGGGGGUUUAUGACGACAAGUGCCCCACGACUACACUUAAUUUCAUCGCGGCAAAAAAUUCAAAGCAGUCUCCUAUUGUCGUACUGUUAAUCGAGUGUAAUUAUAUUCGGGCAUCUAAUAUAUUAAUAAAUAUUAUGUGAUUAACUAAUAAAAUGCUCUAAAAGUAUUUUUGGUAUAUAACUAAACUUAUACUAAAAUUGCUUAUUAAAAAAUAGAAGUUGAAAAUUUUUAAAAUAAAAAUUCUUAGGAUCAACUCUUUUUGAACUUUUGUAAGUUAGUUUUGAUCCGUAAAUAGAUGUAUAAGCUGUGUCAAAUACUCUCGUACAACUUUCAAGACAGAAAUUAAGAAGAAGUUUCAUCUUAGAAGCCAUAACAAACAUGCACUAAGUAAGACUUAUUCCAUUAUUUUGACAGAAUGAGCUUCUCUAACCGUAAUCUUUCUAUAGGCCCAAUCUAAGCUCAUACUAAUGAUUCGAAUUGUUUAUCUUGUAAGCUCUAUUGUAUGGGACAUCCGUGUAAAAAAUUUAUUUAACCGGACGUUUAUAAAAAUAGAAACAAAUUGCAUCUUGUUUUAUAAAAUGAAUGACUGAUAUGAUUGUAAAUUUAAAUAGACUAUUUUAUACUUCAAUUCGAUUUGUUCCUAUGUUUAUAGAUGUCCGAUGAUGUUAAUUUUUUAAUUAAUAACUUACCUGGGAACGUAUGAGAUGGAUGGUUCGAAUCAUUUAUGAGACUUACAAGAGGGAUAUGGAGAGAUGAUGCUUUAGAGAGAGUUCAUAAUUAUUUUGACCAAUCACACGAAAGAUAAUAAUCACGAGUAAACGUAAUUGCACUCAUAGUGGGCGUUUGUUUCUAUUAAAUAUUUGGUAAAAAUUAAUUACUUGGAGAAGAAAAACUUCAAAAUGUCAAAAUAUUUUUUUCCAAAAAUUACUUUUUAAAUUCUUUUAUGUUAUUUUAUCAAAGUUUGUAUGCUAAAAGUAGUAGUAGUAAAUAAUUUGUUACAACAUGGUAUAUCUUCUAAGACAACAAAAAUAAAUAGAACAAAGUCUUUGUCUUUAUAAAAUUACAUUUUCACAGCGAUAAAAUUGAAAGUAAGAAACUCAAUGUUAAAAAGUUUGAUAUACAUUGUUAUGUCUACUUCUUAAUAACUCAAAUUUUUUGGACAAUUAGUGACUUAACAUAGUAUUAGAGCUCAAAAUCCAUAAGGUCUUGAACUCAAAUCCUUUUAGUUGUAUUUGUUUCUCUUUGUAUUGUGUUUCGUUCCUAUUUUGUUCUCUUAUUUGGUUAUAUGUAUAAAUGUUUGUAUUCCCACGUGCAAAUUGAAUUGGAACAGUACAUCCUAUAUACCCGUUAAGAUAGCACCUCACCCAUUAAACAAAUUAUCUGUCUUUAUAAAUCCUCCAAGUAAGGGGAAGGUUCUAGGAAAAUGGAAAGAAGAAAGAAAAUCAAAACUCAUCCAUUGAAACGUUAUUUAAAAAAAUAUAUGAUUUUCAUGGGUGAUGCGAAUAACUAGAGACAUUAAGAAAACAGAUAGUCAAUGAUAUAAAUUAUUAGGAUGGAUCAUAAACCAGCUGGGAAAAAUGCGAUGGAUUCUAAACCAGCUGGGAAAAAUGCCCCCCAACCACUGAAAUGAAGAUGGAUCCACACGGCAUUUUGUAAGUCAUAAUUAACAAAUAGUUUGGAAGAAAAAUAUUUUUAUUUGUUUCUAGAAAUCACUUGAGAUGGAAAGCAAAAGGAUCAUUCGUAACCAUGAAAUAUAAUAUAUGGGAUUUAUAAUGAUUAUUAUUGUAUAAAAAAUUUAAAUGCCGGUUGUUGAGAUAGAAAUCUAGGAGCGAGCAAUUAAUAGUCAGAAUUGCUCAAAAUAGUAACAUCGGUCACCUGCACAGGAGGACAAACGUUACCGGCCAAGGUGAUACCGAUCAAAACCUCUUCAGCGUGGCGAUAAGAUCAUAAGAGAUAAAUUUAUUAGACAAACCAUAAUAGAGAAAUCAGAUAGCAACAGCUAAAAUUUUUGAAUGAAAUUACCCCUUUUUUGAGAAUAAUGAAUGGCUUUUAUAGAUAGAGAUUUCAAGAAUGUAUAAGGAGAUCGUGGUGCAAUUAUUAGGCAACCACGUAAGGAAGUCGUGGCCUGAGAUAUAAGCAUAAUGGGUGGAGAUUGCCACGUAGAAGUAGUGACGCAACUAUAUGAGACUGUGGUGGAGAUGAGAUCAAGUUCACCACGUUAUGGAGAUAUUGGCGACAUAAAUUAUCGAACAGUAUGAAUUAGCAACUUGAAAGGAGAUUAUGGGCAACGUAAGACAACUUGAUAUGCUGAGUGACGAUCAUAAAUACAUUGACCAAUGGGAACCAUUUUCAAAUCUUGGUAGAAUAACUUGUUUUUCAUAAACAAUAUUGCGACCUAGUUUAACCAC
rnacentral:lncRNA from 1 species